GUUGUAGCACCGGUUCCCGUACGAUCGCCAAAGUUAAGCAACGUCAGUACCUAGAUGGGUAACCGCUUGGGAAUACCAGGUGCUGAA